rnacentral:rRNA from 1 species
CAAAAGGGCCAGACUAUCCUAAAUGCACUAGAUCUCAUCCAAUCUUGGAAGCUAAGCUGAAUCAACCCUAGUUAGUACUUGGAUGGGAGACCACCAAUGAAUGCCAGGUGUUGUAGGCU